rnacentral:rRNA from 1 species
GAUGAACGCUAGCGGCAGGCUUAAUACAUGCAAGUCGAGGGGCAGCAUGGUGUAGCAAUACACUGAUGGCGACCGGCAAACGGGUGCGGAACACGUACACAACCUCCCUUCAAGCGGGGCAUAGCCCAGAGAAAUUUGGAUUAAUACCCCAUAGAAUAUUGGAAAGGCAUCUUUUGAUAUUAAAGAUUUAUCACUUGAAGAUGGGUGUGCGGCUGAUUAGGUAGUUGGCGGGGUAACGGCCCACCAAGCCUUCGAUCAGUAACUGGUGUGAGAGCACGACCAGUCACACGGGCACUGAGACACGGGCCCGACUCCUACGGGAGGCAGCAGUAAGGAAUAUUGGUCAAUGGACGAAAGUCUGAACCAGCCAUGCCGCGUGGAGGAUGAAGGUCCUCUGGAUUGUAAACUUCUUUUAUAUGGGACGAAAAAGGGGCUUUCUAGCUCAACUGACGGUACCAUGUGAAUAAGCACCGGCUAACUCCGUGCCAGCCGCCGCCGUAACAC